rnacentral:rRNA from 1 species
GGACCGGAUACAGGUGCUGCAUGGCUGUCGUCAGCUCGUGUCGUGAGAUGUUGGGUUAAGUCCCGCAACGAGCGCAACCCUCGCCUUAGUUGCCAGCAUUUAGUUGGGCACUCUAAGGGGACUGCCGGUGAUAAGCCGAGAGGAAGGUGGGGAGUGACGUCAAGUCCUCAUGGCCCUUACGGGCUGGGCUACACACGUGCUACAAUGGUGGUGACAGUGGGCAGCGAGCACGCGAGUGUGAGCUAAUCCCCAAAAGCCAUCUCAGUUCGGAUUGCACUCUGCAACUCGAGUGCAUGAAGUUGGAAUCGCUAGUAAUCGUGAAUCAGAAUGUCACGGUGAAUACGUUCCCGGGCCUU